rnacentral:lncRNA from 1 species
CCCUUGUGGCCCUCUCUUUCGCUCUUCUGAGCAUCUCAGCUUCGAGUCCAGAUUUCUUUGCCUCUUUGGCUAAUUCAUGGGAACUUUCAAUAUAUCCAUUCAAGUAAUGGGUAAGCUGGCAAGUGAAGAAAAACUCAUAAGUAAUAAAUGAGUAUACAGUAAGUGCUAAAUAAGAAAGCCCCAACAUACUCCGAUGAGGCAAUCCACUGCUCUUCUCUUCAUCUCCCUCCGAAAAAUGCUCAGUAGCUCGUUUGUGUCCAUAGGGAGCAGUAGUC